rnacentral:rRNA from 1 species
AUGGAGCCGACCUUGAAAUACCACCCUUUAAUGUUUGAUGUUCUAACGUUGACCCGUAAUCCGGGUUGCGGACAGUGUCUGGUGGGUAGUUUGACUGGGGCGGUCUCCUCCUAAAGAGUAACGGAGGAGCACGAAGGUUGGCUAAUCCUGGUCGGACAUCAGGAGGUUAGUGCAAUGGCAUAAGCCAGCUUGACUGCGAGCGUGACGGCGCGAGCAGGUGCGAAAGCAGGUCAUAGUGAUCCGGUGGUUCUGAAUGGAAGGGCCAUCGCUCAACGGAUAAAAGGUACUCCGGGGAUAACAGGCUGAUACCGCCCAAGAGUUCAUAUCGACGGCGGUGUUUGGCACCUCGAUGUCGGCUCAUCACAUCCUGGGGCUGAAGUAGGUCCCAAGGGUAUGGCUGUUCGCCAUUUAAAGUGGUACGCGAGCUGGGUUUAGAACGUCGUGAGACAGUUCGGUCCCUAUCUGCCGUGGGCGCUGGAGAACUGAGGGGGGCUGCUCCUAGUACGAGAGGACCGGAGUGGACGCAUCACUGGUGUUCGGGUUGUCAUGCCAAUGGCACUGCCCGGUAGCUAAAUGCGGAAGAGAUAAGUGCUGAAAGCAUCUAAGCACGAAACUUGCCCCGAGAUGAGUUCUCCCUGACUCCUUGAGAGUCCUGAAGGAACGUUGAAGACGACGACGUUG